rnacentral:rRNA from 1 species
GCUUACGGCCAUAACAGCCUGAAUACGCCCGAAUCUCGCUGAUCUCGGAAGCUAAGCAGGGUCGGGCCUGGUUAGUACUUGGAUGGGAGACCGCCUGGGAAUACCAGGUGCUGUAAGCA